rnacentral:tRNA from 1 species
GCAUCGGUGGUUCAGUGGUAGAAUGCCCACCAGUGGUAGAGUGCCACGCGGGCGGCCCGGGUUCGAUUCCCGGCCGAUGCA